AGAUUGAACGCUGGCGGCAGGCCUAACACAUGCAAGUCGAGCGGUAGAGAGGUGCUUGCAUCUCUUGAGAGCGGCGGACGGGUGAGUAAUGCCUAGGAAUCUGCCUAGUGGUGGGGGAUAACGUUCGGAAACGGACGCUAAUACCGCAUACGUCCUACGGGAGAAAGCGGGGGACCUUCGGGCCUCGCGCCAUUAGAUGAGCCUAGGUCGGAUUAGCUAGUUGGUGAGGUAAUGGCUCACCAAGGCGACGAUCCGUAACUGGUACUGAGA
rnacentral:rRNA from 1 species